rnacentral:pre_miRNA from 1 species
AAAAUUCUUGUCUUAGAUUUGUCUAGAUACAGAUGUAUCAAGUCACAUUUUAGUAUUAGAUACAUCCGUAUCUAGACAAAUCUAAGACAAGAAAUUU